UGAGCAUGACUUCACCCU
rnacentral:piRNA from 1 species